rnacentral:tRNA from 1 species
UGUAGCUCAGUGGUAGAGCACUUGUCUGGCAUGCAUGUGAGGUCCUGGGUUCAAUCCUCAGCA